AUGCGCAAGCUGGAGGAGCUUGAGAAGGGCGUGGAGCCUGCAUGGGAGCGCUUGGUCCACCCGCUCGAGCGCAUCGUCCAUAGGAUGAACGUCAUUGACCACAUCAAGGCCGUCAAGGACUCGCCCGACCUCCGUGCCACCGUCGAGGAUGUCCAUGUAGUCUCUUCUUCUGUCACGCCGCCUGUGAUCUGGAUGAACGAAGCCGUUGAUUGGUUAGCGCAUCAUCAGAUGAUGAUGUUGUCUCUGUAUUUCUUCUUACUCCAUGAAUUAAUCCUGAUGAAUGCUGCUUGUUUUGCACAGGCUAACAAGGACAGUGACGAGGUCUACGCACAGAUGACUCUGCAACCAGUAAACUCUAUUUAUCUUGUUCUUGUUCUGGUCGAUCGUGAGGAGGUUAUUUGUAUUGUUGAUCCUGACCAUGAGCUUGAAUGGUCUAGUUUACCUGUUGUUGUUUACCGUCAGAUAGGACUAUUAGGUGCUCAAGAAGUCGCAAUCAAAAGGCUAAGUAGAGAUUCUCAACAAGGAACAACAGAAUUCAAGAACAAAGUAGUUCUAAUUGCAAAAUUGCAACAUAGAAACUUGGUUCGACUUCUUGGGUGUUGUGUUGAAGGAGAUGAAAAGCUCUUGAUAUACGAGUAUCUUCCUAACAAGAGCUUAGAUGAUACCCUUUUUGAUGACUCAAGAAAAUUGUUGUUGGAUUGGGCAACACGGUUCAAUAUAAUCAAAGGGGUUGCAAGGGGGCUUCUAUAUCUUCAUGAAGACUCAAGGUUCACCAUAAUUCAUAGGGAUCUAAAAGCUGAAAAUAUUUUGCUAGAUGCAUAUAUGAAACCCAAGAUAGCAGAUUUUGGUAUGGCGAGGAUCAUUAGUGAUAACCAGCAAGAUGCAAACACCCAACGCGUAGUUGGAACAUAUGGCUACAUGGCUCCUGAGUAUGCAAUGGAAGGUUUCUUCUCUACCAAGUCCGAUGUCUAUAGCUUUGGCGUGUUACUACUGGAGGUUGUAACUGAUAUAAGGAGAAACUGCAAUAGUCAAACCAUGGGAUUCCCUAGCCUCACUGUAUAUUCAUGGAAUAUGUGGAACGAAGAGAAGACCGAGGAACUGCUCCCGCACCGCGCGCCUGUGCGUAGAGCGAGCUCUCCUAGCAAGACCCCGUCGUCCCCGCCCAGCUCGGCCUCGACAUCCAUCUCGCCAACUACUAGAGCAUGGUGA
rnacentral:rRNA from 1 species